UAGGGAAUCUUCGGCAAUGGGGGGAACCCUGACCGAGCAACGCCGCGUGAGUGAAGAAGGUUUUCGGAUCGUAAAGCUCUGUUGUUAAGGAAGAACGAGUGUGAGAAUGGAAAGUUCAUACUGUGACGGUACUUAACCAGAAAGGGACGGCUAACUACGUGCCAGCAGCCGCGGUAAUACGUAGGUCCCGAGCGUUGUCCGGAUUUAUUGGGCGUAAAGCGAGCGCAGGCGGUUAGAUAAGUCUGAAGUUAAAGGCAGUGGCUCAACCAUUGUAGGCUUUGGGAACUGUUUAACUUGAGUGCAGAAGGGGAGAGUGGAAUUCCAUGUGUAGCGGUGAAAUGCGGAGAUAUAUGGAGGAACACCGGUGGCGAAAGCGGCUCUCUGGUCUGUAACUGACGCUGAGGCUCGAAAGCGUGGGGAGCGAACAGG
rnacentral:rRNA from 1 species